GCUGCCGCGACCGCAUCCGCAGACCGCGAACGAAUCAUCUCCGGCGGAUGAGGACGACUCCACUAAUACAGAAACGGGGAUGGACUGGCUGAGUGAGGAUCGGUCACGUUGCGCAAUUCGUGCGGUGCGGGAGCGCUGGAGCCGCAGCCAGCCGACGACGUCAAGGGGCGCGUGUGAGCCGGCGCAUCUCAUCUGUACUCGAGACAGUGAUGCUCCUGGAGGGAGAGAGCUGGCAAAAAGCAGAGCGGAAGAAUACAUGGCACGCUAGCAACAUUUUGUUCUGGGGGGAAAAAAAAUCAAAAAAAGAUAAAAUAAAAUCCUGAACACCUGAGACCAAAGAGCAUGUUCCAGCAGCCUGCUGGUGUCCCAGAAUGCGAGAUCAGACGUAAGCGGCGACAUUUAUCAUGAUGAAGGUAAGGGAAAUUUCAGAAACACAUAUCUGACACUGUCUGUCUCAGCCUUUCCCAGGUGGAGAAUGCGAGUUGGAGAAAUGUCAGUCCGUGCAAUCCAUGUGUGUGCCCAUCUCAAGACAUAUUCCCUCAGUACCUCAUAGCACACUAUGAUGUAGCUGAGAUGCAGCUCCCUCAGGGAGCCAUCAGUACACUAAGAUUGGAGCAGGACGGACCAUCGUAGUUCGGAGGGGGUGUGAAAAUACAGUAUGGUUCUUCUUU